rnacentral:misc_RNA from 1 species
UUAAGUUCAGCGGGUAUCCCUACCUUAUCCGAGGUCAACCUAAGAUGUACGCGAAGCACGUGUUUGACAGCUACCCGAGGCCGGCUCCCCCAGCGAGUGAAUUUCUACUACGCUAGAAGCCGUUCGCUCGGCCACCGAUGACUUUGAGGCCCGCCCGUGUGGGGACGGAGGCCCAAUACCAAGCAGAGCUUGACGGUUGU